CCUGGUUUACUCCAGAGAGAGGACAUUCGUCCCCUUUGCCACCAACUGUUUUAGAGCAUGAAAUAUUGUUUGCUGCUGCCAAGGAUGAAACCUGGGUGAAGAAGCUCAGCUAGGCAAAGAAGCGCAGAGUCUGAAACUUUCCACUGCGGAAGACUGAAAAGAGAAGUGAUGGUUUAGCAAAACGGAGCUAAGGCAGAAGGGAGUGGGAUACACAGAGCUGUAUAGCGUCAACCCAAACGCUCCACAGACACACAAAAAUGUGCAAAACCAGAGACCUGUCUUGACAGAGCCCUGCUCACCUGCCAGCCCACCUGCUUCUGCUGGGGGUGCCCUGCUUCCACAACUCAUCUGCCAUCCCACUGGUUUUCCAGCAUUUUGGAAUACCACUUACCCUUUUACCAGCAUUGUCCUUUACCAGUUUGUGUAAAGCAGGCAACAAAAAUCAACUGUUUUAACCUCAUUGGUCUGACUGCUUAUAAGGUCGAAAGUGUUGAACAGUUAUAGUUAAAUGAAAUUGAAAACUUAGAUUUGAAAGAUAGAAAGAUAGAAAACAAGAUG